AUUGAACGCUGGCGGCAGGCUUAACACAUGCAAGUCGAGCGAGCGGCGGACGGGUGAGUCAUGUCUGGGAAACUGCCUGAUGGAGGGGGAUAACUACUGGAACCGGUAGCUAAUACCGCAUACCAUCAGCUCUGCCCAGAGUGGAUUAGCUAGUCGGGGGGGUAAAGGCUCACCUAGGAGACGAUCCCUAGCAGGUCUGAGAGGAAGACCGGCCACACGGGAAGUGAGACACGGUCCAGACUCCUACGGGAGGCAGCAGUGGGGAAUAUUGCACAAUGGGCGCAAGCCUGAUGCAGCCAUGCCGCGUGUGUGAAGAAGGCCUUCGGGUUGUAAAGCACUUUCAGAGGGGAGGCGUUACUCGCAGAAGAAGCACCGGCUAACUCCGUGCCAGCAGCCGCGGUAAUAC
rnacentral:rRNA from 1 species